rnacentral:lncRNA from 1 species
AAAAUGGGCUCAGUCUUCGAAACCUAAAGGAUGUGAUGUUUUCCUGUCUUAUGUUGUUUUAAGAAAAAGGAACUGAGUUCCUAGUAUAGCUCCCGAGGGGAGUGGAAUCCUCUGUCGCUCAGUGCAAGCCUUUCACAUCACGUGAGGAUCAAGGGCUCAAUUGGUUGUCGUGAGAACAAAAAUGGUGACAAGCGUAUCAAGAAAAUACUGAUCUGGUCUUUAAAAAAAAAAAAGCUGAAAGUCUCUCCCCUCCCCCUGCACACACUCCCCCAACCUCCUCCCCCCGCCCCCCCGCAGUGGGCGAAGCUACAAGUUAUGAAUGUGAAACAUUUCUCGGAGAUCUAGGAUCUCCGAAGUUCGGAAGGAGCGAAAUGUAAUGAGCACAAGAGCAAAGCAGAUGUUUUAAAGAAACACUUUAUAAACCUUUCCUCAACUUAUCUCCAAUUUGUCGGCUUUCCCAAGGGGCCAGGGACGGGGACGCCUGGGGGAGGGAGAAGGGUAUCUCCGAGCUACUUGGAUUUUAGGGACCCCCACUUCAUGUAUUAAACAAAGAAAAACCUUUUGCUUGCUCCCCAG